AUUGAACGCUGGCGGCAUGCUUUACACAUGCAAGUCGAACGGUAACAGGCCGCAAGGUGCUGACGAGUGGCGAACGGGUGAGUAAUGCAUCGGAACGUGCCCAGUCGUGGGGGAUAACUACUCGAAAGAGUAGCUAAUACCGCAUACGAUCUAUGGAUGAAAGCGGGGGACCGUAAGGCCUCGCGCGAUUGGAGCGGCCGAUGUCAGAUUAGGUAGUUGGUGGGGUAAAGGCUCACCAAGCCAACGAUCUGUAGCUGGUCUGAGGGGACAACCAGCCACACUGGGACUGAGACACGGCCCAGACUCCUACGGGAGGCAGCAGUGGGGAAUUUUGGACAAUGGGCGCAAGCCUGAUCCAGCAAUGCCGCGUGCAGGAAGAAGGCCUUCGGGUUGUAAACUGCUUUUGUACGGAACGAAACGGCUCUGGUUAAUACCCGGGGCUAAUGACGGUACCGUAAGAAUAAGCACCGGCUAACUACGUG
rnacentral:rRNA from 1 species